UGGGGAAUAUUGGACAAUGGGCGCAAGCCUGAUCCAGCCAUGCCGCGUGAGUGAUGAAGGCCCUAGGGUUGUAAAGCUCUUUCACCGGUGAAGAUAAUGACGGUAACUGGAGAAGAAGCCCCGGCUAACUUCGUGCCAGCAGCCGCGGUAAUACGAAGGGGGCUAGCGUUGUUCGGAUUUACUGGGCGUAAAGCGCACGUAGGCGGACUUUUAAGUCAGGGGUGAAAUCCCGGGGCUCAACCCCGGAACUGCCUUUGAUACUGGAAGUCUUGAGUAUGGUAGGGGUGGGUGGAAUUCCGAGUGUAGAGGUGAAAUUCGUAGAUAUUCGGAGGAACACCAGUGGCGAAGGCGGCUCACUGGACCAUUACUGACGCUGAGGUGCGAAAGCGUGGGGAGCAAACAGG
rnacentral:rRNA from 1 species